rnacentral:rRNA from 1 species
UCGAUGUCGACUCAUCGCAUCCUGGGGCUGGAGCAGGUCCCAAGGGUAUGGCUGUUCGCCAUUUAAAGCGGUACGUGAGUUGGGUUCAGAACGUCGUGAGACAGUUCGGUCCCUAUCUGCCGUGGGUGUAGGAAUAUUGACAGGAUCUGUCCCUAGUACGAGAGGACCGGGAUGGACGUAUCUCUGGUGGACCUGUUGUGGCGCCAGCCGCAUAGCAGGGUAGCUAUAUACGGAACGGAUAACCGCUGAAGGCAUCUAAGCGGGAAACCGACCUGGAAACGAGUAUUCCCUGAGAGUCGUGGUAGACGACCACGUUGAUAGGCCGGGUGUGGAAGUGCGGCAACGCAUGAAGCUUACCGGUACUAAUAACUCGAUUGGCUUGAUCGU